AUGAACGCUAGCGACAGGCCUAACACAUGCAAGUCGAGGGGCAGCACAAGGAGCAAUCUGAGGUGGCGACCGGCGCACGGGUGAGUAACACGUAUGCAACCUGCCUGUAAGCGGGGAAUAACCCGUUGAAAGACGGACUAAUACCGCAUAAUGCUAAAUUACUGCAUGGUAAUUUAUUUAAACAUUUAUGGCUUACAGAUGGGCAUGCGCAUGAUUAGCUAGUUGGAGAGGUAACGGCUCCCCAAGGCAACGAUCAUUAGGGGUUCUGAGAGGAAGGUCCCCCACACUGGUACUGAGACACGGACCAGACUCCUACGGGAGGCAGCAGUGAGGAAUAUUGGUCAAUGGACGAGAGUCUGAACCAGCCAAGUCGCGUGCAGGAAGAAUGUCCCUAUGGAUUGUAAACUGCUUUUGCAGGGGAAUAAAGUGCAUCACGUGUGAUGUUUUGUAUGUACUCUGCGAAUAAGGAUCGGCUAACUCCGUGCCAGCCGCCGC
rnacentral:rRNA from 1 species